AGUAACACGUAUCCAAUCUACCUUAUAAUGGGGGAUAACUAGUUGAAAGACUAGCUAAUACCGCAUAAGAACUUUGGUUCGCAUGAAUCAAAGUUGAAAGGACCCGCAAGGGUUCGUUAUUUGAUGAGGGUGCGCCAUAUCAGCUAGUUGGUGGGGUAACGGCCUACCAAGGCAAUGACGUGUAGCUAUGCUGAGAAGUAGAAUAGCCACAAUGGGACUGAGACACGGCCCAUACUCCUACGGGAGGCAGCAGUAGGGAAUUUUUCACAAUGAGCGAAAGCUUGAUGGAGCAAUGCCGCGUGAACGAUGAAGGUCUUUAAGAUUGUAAAGUUCUUUUUUUUGGGAAGAAUGACUUUAGCAGGUAAUGGCUAGAGUUUGACUGUACCAUUUUGAAUAAGUGACGACUAACUAUGUGCCAGCAGUCGCGGUAAUACAUAGGUCGCAAGCGUUAUCCGGAUUUAUUGGGCGUAAAGCAAGCGCAGGCGGAUUGAAAAGUCUGGUGUUAAAGGCAGCUGCUUAACAGUUGUAUGCAUUGGAAACUAUUAAUCUAGAGUGUGGUAGGGAGUUUUGGAAUUUCAUGUGGAGCGGUGAAAUGCGUAGAUAUAUGAAGGAACACCAGUGGCGAAGGCGAAAACUUAGGCCAUUACUGACGCUUAGGCUUGAAAGUGUGGGGAGCAAAUAGGAUUAGAUACCCUAGUAGUCCACACCGUAAACGAUAGAUACUAGCUGUCGGGGCGAUCCCCUCGGUAGUGAAGUUAACACAUUAAGUAUCUCGCCUGGGUAGUACAUUCGCAAGAAUGAAACUCAAACGGAAUUGACGGGGACCCGCACAAGUGGUGGAGCAUGUUGCUUAAUUCGACGGUACACGAAAAACCUUACCUAGACUUGACAUCCUUGGCAAAGUUAUGGAAACAUAAUGGAGGUUAACCGAGUGACAGGUGGUGCAUGGUUGUCGUCAGC
rnacentral:rRNA from 1 species